rnacentral:rRNA from 1 species
GAUGAACGCUGGCGGCGUGCUAAUACAUGCAAGUCGAGCGAACGGACGAGAAGCUUGCUUCUCUGGUGUUAGCGGCGGACGGGUGAGUAACACGUGGAUAACCUACCUAUAAGACUGGGAUAACUUCGGGAAACCGGAGCUAAUACCGGAUAAUAUUUUGAACCGCAUGGUUCAAAAGUGAAAGACGGUCUUGCUGUCACUUAUAGAUGGAUCCGCGCUGCAUUAGCUAGUUGGUAAGGUAACGGCUUACCAAGGCAACGAUGCAUAGCCGACCUGAGAGGGUGAUCGGCCACACUGGAACUGAGACACGGUCCAGACUCCUACGGGAGGCAGCAGUAGGGAAUCUUCCGCAAUGGGCGAAAGCCUGACGGAGCAACGCCGCGUGAGUGAUGAAGGUCUUCGGAUCGUAAAACUCUGUUAUUAGGGAAGGACAUAUGUGUAAGUAACUGUGCACAUCUUGACGGUACCUAAUCAGAAAGCCACGGCUAACUACGUG